rnacentral:tRNA from 1 species
GGGGGUAGAGCUCAGUGAUAGAGCACGUGCUUGGUGUGCAUGAGGUCCUGUGUUCGAUCCCCAGUGCCUCUG